CUUGGCCUUGUCAUAGGUCCAGGAGCCGAACUUCAUCUUGCAGUUCUGCUGGUCGAAGGGGAAGAAGGUGACGUCGAUGCUGCAGGAGCUCUUGUAGAUGGCCGGGGGCACCCAGUGCACAGUGCCCGUGGAGAAGAGUAAGGAAAGAGUUGAAUAGACACAAGGCCAGCCACGCCAUGUGGGAGAUGGAGUUAGCAGUCAAAGCAUGUCUUCCAAAGUUCGCAGAUGAUGAGUCGGCCCCUCAGGAGAGGGACCCAUUUCCACCUGGGAUCAUCCUUGCUCAGAAGAGACAAAACAUCUUUGCGGGUGAAGGUACUCCCUUGAGUGUAUCCAUUUAACAUGUGUUUUUGAGCCAGCCUCAUCCACUAGGGCCUGUAACAGAACUGUGCAGAAGAGGAAUAUGAGAUAAGGUCCCUGUCCUUAAGGAGUCAUGAGGAAAUGAGACGUCUCCAGGAACCACUGCAACAUCAGGGAGGCAGUUGCCAACACUAGGAGGGUGGUCCGAGUGUUCCCUGGACGCUUU